GAGUACUUCACGGGUGACCAUAGUGAUAUUCAGCAAUGAGUCAAGGAAAUGGAUAGAAUUUAUUGACAUAUUUGGAAAAUCAGUGUGAUGUGGUGUGAGAACAUAGGACAUAUACAUCAGUAGAAAGACUGAAACAGAUGAGGAUGGAUAACCACAGAUACUCAUCUUCUGGAUUGUGAACAAGGGGACAACACUGUCUGGAAGUUGCCGAUUCAAAACUGUGAGCUGAAAUGAGACUCAGAAGAGUUGGACUGUAAAUGUGAAGCUGAUUUAGGAAUUCCACAGCAAAUUGUUUUUGCAUAUAUUUUCAUGCACAGAGUGAAGUAUGAUAAAAAUAUACAUCUAAGUUUAAAAUAAUUCAAUAAGUGUAAAAAACAUUCUUGGAGAUUAGAAUAUAUUUUAUUUUUUAAGUGGCAGCAUUGUUUUACUAUCUUGGUUCUUAAGAAUAACACUGUUAUUUAUAAUCUAUGGCAUUUUAGAUGUUAUGAAAUAUGCAGUCCCUCUAGUAUCUGAACAAGAUGGAUUUGAGGGGUUGCCUGAAACUGGGGACAAAAGAAAAGCAGAUAAGGAACUCUUACAAUGCUCUUAGUGAGAGUUGAUAAGUGAACCUGACUGAGGAACAAUGAAGGUUGUGAAGAACAGAACAAGGCAAAUCUGAGAGAGCUAUGUAGGAAGGAAAAUACAAAAACUUAAGUGAUAGAUUUAUGUGUCAUGGCAAGAGAAAAAAAAAUUAAGAAUAACUUCCUGGGCUGUUAUUAGCUAUUGGUAUAUUUUUGGAAUAGUAUAUUACUUUUAGAAUGGUAAAUAUGUAUAAGGACAUAGUACAAGAAGAAGCCUAUAAUUGGGGAAUGAAAAAAAGUAGAAUACAAAGUAGUACAUACGACUGACUAUAGUAAUGCUUGUGCAAGGGUAAGGAUCGAAGGGGUCAUAGAGAUUAAUAAAUCAAUGUGUUUUCACAAGGGAUUUCUUUGUAUUUUUCUUCAUCUUUUACUUUGAAGGCUGUUAAUUAUGUGCAAAAAAAACCCCCAAACAAACCAUGUUCACCAAGGGCAGGCAGUACUGGAGUGAA